CGGCUGAGAAACCUCCUCUGCCAGAUCCUGACCUGAGCCAGGAGGCGGCCAGGAAACUGGAUUUUGGGACUGGGAUUUCAGAGAGGAAGCUGGAGAGCUGCAGGGUGGUCAUCUGUCACUUUAUUUUGCCCGUCUUGUAGCAUGUGGGUCUUUCGCAGCAGGAAGUGUGUUUUACAACCAGAGCCCCCGCCCUCCUGCAGCGCAGGCGCAGCUGGCUGGGCUCCUGCUUCCCACUCUCCACCUCAUCCAUAUUUGUCCUCGUCCCUGCCAGUCUCGAAAAGGCACUCUGUCACGUGUACACAGGAAAGGGCCCUGACAAGAGGAUGGGACUGCAGUUGUGGCUGCCAGGGCCCCGGCCAGGGUGAAAACAAGGAACAUUCCAGAGAAGAUCACAAGGAUGCGAAUAAAAUCGGAGCUGCACAGGGAUCUUUGGGCUGUAAUAGGAGGGGACACACAGGGGUUAGGGGAGGGUCUAGCCCUUGGCUCCCUCAGCCCAGCCCUCCUGUCACCUUGCCUCUCCCCUUUCCCCCACCUUAUUCUAUCCCACCCGCCACCGUUGGCCAACUCCUCUCCUAAACAGUGGACUCUGCUUUUUCCCCUCCUCUUAUCCCUAAUCCUAGGAGCUUUCUGUCUGGCUUCCCUCCUGGCCCCUCGUGUAUGCAUUCUCUCUAGCGGUGGGGAUUAAGGAGAAAACUCACGUGGCCAGUGGGUAGAGAGAGUCCGGGCAGGCAGCUGCCUGAAGUCAGCCAGAGUCUGCAUGUGCCCAGCUGUCCUGGCCUCCAGCAUCUCUGGAAAAACAGAGACAGAAUGAGUAGCAGCAGGGGACCCCAUAGGGCACAUCUGAAGGCCUGAGAGGUGCUGGAUGGGAUGGGAAGGCAGAAACAGGCUGACCUUAUCUAGGGGUAGGAGUGGGGAGUACUGGUUGGGGUAUCACCGCUACCCCACGUGAUGGCACAGAGAGUUGCCUGGAACUUACCACUGACAUAAGGUUGGAGUGCAGUGGCACGAUCUCGGCUCAGUGCAACCUCCGCCUCCUGAGUUCAAGUGAUUCUCCUGCCUCAGCCUCCCUAGUAGCUGGGAUUACAGGACAAGGAGAGGGACAAAUUCCUUCUUGGCAUCCUUAUGGCCCUGUGACCUGCUAAUGAAUGCUGACUCUGAGUUGCUACUAGAAUUUGGUUUCCUUGUGGCUUCCCAGGAAUUGUGAGCCAUGUUGGAUAAGGACCUGCAAGGGAAGAAUGAGGAAGCCUGGGACAGUGCAGGAGGGGAGAGCACUGGUGGUAGAGAGGAGUGAUGACAAGGGUCUCCGCCAAAAGGGAAAUGGAGGGGUUAAAGAAGCUGCUGGGGAGGGUUAAAAACAAUGUGUUCUCACUCGUAGGUGGGAAUUGAACAAUGAGAACACUUGGACACAGGAAGGGGAACAUCACACACUGGGGCCUGUCGUGGGGUGUGGGGAGGGAGGAGGGAUAGCAUUAGGAGAUAUACCUAAUGUAAAUGAUGAGUUAAUGGGUGCAGCACACCAACAUGGCACAUGUAUACCUAUGUAACAAACCUGCACAUUGUGUACAUGUACCCUAGAACUUAAAGUAUAAUUAAAAAACAAAACAAAACAAAACAAAAACAAUGAGGUGCUAUUGUUUUAGUGGUGAGUAUCCGGAGACCUGGGAGUUCUAUUUACCAGGUAUAACCUGGGCUCAAAAUUCCAGGCUGACUUCAGGCAUGUCCUCAUCUCAUAGAUGCCAGCACUAAGGCCCAGAGAGGGCCGAGCUCAUUCAGCCCACCCAUCUUCUCACCCCUGACUGCAUUUCCCGGGGGUCCUUCUGCAGCCAGGUGCUGCUGUGGUACUUUGGGAUCUAUUGGCUGAGCUCCCAGAGAAGGGUCAUGGAUUGGGCUAGUUUGGAACAAGUGAAGGGACUGAAGAUGGGCUCAGUAUGGGGCGAAGACCUUCAGGAAGGGUCUGCAGAGUGAGUAGGGGGGUUUUGACUAGGAAAAGUUCCAACCCUGCCGGGGCCGCUGUCAAGAGAAAAGCAUCUAUUACAGUUACAUUUUUAAGUUAAGUAGACUGAAGAAUAUUUCUUGUGUAUUAAAGACGUUCCUUUUUGGUUGAUUUGCAAUGGAAAAGCUUUUGUUUUCUUUUUUUUUUUGGAAACAGGGUCUCACUCUGCUCACUCUGUCUCCCAAGCUGGAGUGCAGUGGUACAGUCACGGCUCACUGCAGCCUCCACUUCCUGGACUCAAGUGAUCUUCUCACUUCAGCCUUCUGAGUAGCUGGGACUACAGGUAGACCCAGUGUAAUCACAAGCAUCCUUGUAAGUGGCAAAGAGGCAGAGGAGACAGCGCCAGAGAGGCAGCUGCAUGAGAAGGAUCAAGAUGUUGCUGACUUUGAAGUUGGAAGAAGAAGGCCAUGAGCCUCAGUAUGUGGGCGGCUUCUAGAAGCUGGAAGGGGCAAGGAGAUGGAUUUGACCCUUCAGCCUCCAGGGGCAGCUGUACCUGCCAUCACUGAUUGUAGCCUGGUGAGGCCUGUUUUAGACUUCUGACCUGUAGAGCUGUAACAUAAUACAUUUGGGUUGUUUUCAACCACUAAGUUUGUGGUAAUUUGUUGUAGCAGCUGUAGAAAAUGAAUACAUAUGAAUCCUCUGGCAUUUGUUUGAGAUUUGCUCUAUGGCCUAGUAUGUGGUUGUAAAUGUUCCAUCUGUGCCUGAAAAAAUGUAUAUUUCUAAUUCAGUAGUCUCUGCUUUUUUUUUUUAUUUUGUACCCCAUCAAUAAAAUGAUUUUCAGCAUGUAUCCCCAAAUAAACAAUAUUUUAUUUAUUGAUUGAUUGAUAAACAGACAUGUUUAAUGAUAGCUUGCUUUUCACAGAGGUGACUUCGGAGACUUCUAAUCUAUAAUCCAGGAGUAUAUAACCAUGCAGCACAGACCAAUUAGUCACAUGUAAAAUAAACUAGAUUCUUACCAC
rnacentral:lncRNA from 1 species